rnacentral:lncRNA from 1 species
GGAGAAAGAGAGAGAGACACAGGACAGAGACAGAGACAGAGAGAGGCCUAGACAAUGGUUGAACCUGCUUCUAGAGGACAGUGUGACAACACAUAUGUUUCUUAUGUGGGAUGGUAUUUCCAUUCCCAUUUCACCUAAGGAAUUUGGGUUGGUUUUCUGUCACUUUCAACUCGUGUGGUUUUUGUUUGUUUGGUUGGAUUGGUUGUUUGAUUUUUAAGAUAGGGUCUCACUAUUUUGUCUAGGUUGGCCUCAAACUAGAGAGCCCCCUGACUCAGCUUCCUUAGUACGUGGUAUUAAAGGCAUGUAUGUACUACCAUGACCAGCUGUCAAUUCAUUAUUUUUAACUUAUAAAUGUCCCAAACUCCACUUAUCUGUUCAUAAUGUCACAGCUUAUUAUAGUAGUAUACACACUAUGAUAAUUUGAAUGCUCCAGAGGGAAAAUGAGUGAUUGUCAAUUGGAGUUUUAGUGUAUAUAACAUUAAAUCAUCAGAUAUUUACUGAAUCCCUAUUAUCUGUCAUUCCACAAAGAAUACUGAAAACAUACACCAACCUUACAAAAUCAACAACUAAAAUUGCUUCUCAGACAUGUUUUUUCCCUGCCUUUAGGGUUGGAUUUUUGUCACAAAUAUAACAAGAGGCCUUUGCACUUCCUAUGGAAGAGUUUUCCAUAAAUAAUAAAUUUCUUCAUUCAUAUAUAAUAUUAAAAUCACCUUUAAAAAUAAAAAUAGAGGAAAUAAUGACAUUCAUUUCUGAUUUCCAAAUAAGUCUCAUUUUACGUAUUCAAAUAACAUUGACAAAAUUCCUCAGAACUUUUUCUUUUUUUAAGAAACAUCAGUUUUUGUCAUUUACCUUGAAGUUCAGUUGGUCUUUACUAUCUAAAGAGGCACUGAAUACAUGUCUUCUGAAAUGAUAAGCGUGUUUGGGCUGUGUGGAGCCCAAAGUUGGCAGUUUCUAGCAAUAUGGGUACUAAGAUCGUACAGGCAGUAACUCAGCAUAGCCCCUGCUGUGUGCCGUCAGCAGGACAAGCAACUUCCACUCUGGAUCCACUCUUGGCCCAAGCCCACUGAGUUGCCCAUUGAUGUCUUUGAAUAAAACCACACUUUGUCUGUAGUCUCAAAAAUUAGCACCUAAUAGGAUUCAGGUCAUCUUCCAGUUUCCAAUUGUCAACAUGGCACGUUAGGAAUGCAGAAAUUCUUGUCAUUUAAGGAAAAAAAAUUUAAGAACAACUAGUUCUCAAAAAUGUGUGAAAUCAUGUCAGUGGUUUGACUACCCUACUUCAGUACUUAUCAAUUCAGAGUCCCAGGGUGCUAUAGAGGAUUACUCAACAAAUUCAAAUUAUCUUAAGCAACUUCUAACAUUUUGCAAAGCCUUACCACAGUUUGUCCAACUUGAGAUAGAUUGUGUGAGCUAAGUAAAAUUUUAGAUCUGCUUUAGGUUUGAGUUGCAUGAACUUAACAGGGUAAUACUAGAGUUCAUGUUGCCAAAAAGCAUGGCUGGUACUUAUUUUGGUCUUUACUUAAUAAAAAGGGGAAUCAUUUAAUGAAUUUAUUAUGUUUCUAGCUUGUAUUGGUUUAUUUGACAGAUAAAAUGUUAAGACUUAAAAGUGUAGUGGAGCUAGGGUGCUGGGGUGCUCUCAGCAUGACGGUGUUUUCUGAUCCUGCCAUGCCAAUUCUGUCUCUGAACCCACAGGAAGGUGGUGAGUUUCAGAAGGAGAUGGUGUAGGUCAGGCGUCGCGUGACCCAGCAAAAAAAAAGGAAGAGCAAAAAAAGCAAGAACUUACACCAGUAAGGUAGAUACCGUUUCACUGCUGGGUAUACUGGAUGAUGCAAUGGAGUUUGCCAGCCUUUAAAAAGAUCUUCAUGUACCCUUUCUGGUGGCAUAAAACGACAGACCAGGAGUCUCUCACCGAAGAGGCAGUUGUGGCUUCCUCUCAGCCACCAUCUUCGCAACAGCCUCAAACGCAAACUCCACAAAGGCGUAGCCUCUGCUGUUUCCAGUCCUUUUACUUCUGGACUGUCUGAAUCGUGUUAUAUUGCCAAUUGGGAGAAAUAUUCUUUGAUCUGGAAUUCAGAACGUACUGGCUCUGCUGAGGUACCAGUGGAUUCUAGGUAUCAGUAGAAUGAGUACAAGAUGGAUACAGCAACUUGCUUGGUACUUACAGCCUUCCACCUGGGAAGAGAAUCUGCAGUUGAGCAGCCUGAAACCUAAUUCAGGUUGCAAGUCAGUUCUCUCAUUCUGAAGAUUCCCUUUCUUCCUUUGAAUUUGAGUAACAGGAAUUAUUCUCACUGGACUGACUUCUGACCAAUACUGGCUAGACUGCUGUUCUCCUCAAGGCCCAUUACCUCACCUUGCUCUCAUCUGGGGCAAGAGCUGUGUGUGUCAUCAGCAGUGUUAGAAAACCACAUACAGUGUGAAGGGGAUAGAUGGCUGAACCCAUGGUGCAGGAAUGCGUGGGGCCUGGCAGAAUUGAUCAGCUGAUUCCCUGCAGUCUGUCAAGGUGAGACGGUGUGUGAGGACAACUAGUGGCCAGACCCAGGUCUGACCCGUACUAAGUGGAUAGGCAAGCCAACCUCCCUGACCUCAGUCUCCUCAUCUGUGAAAUGGCUAAUUUGCGGGUAGCACUUGGGUCCAUUUGAAGCAGGGAGAAUUGUAAUCUUAAGAAACAAAGCAUUUCAGCUUUUCUGUAUGUUGAAAAUUUUUAUUAUAAAAUGUUGGAGAAUAAAUAAAUAAAGCUCUUUUUAAAUUUCUAGUUCCAAUGAGUUACUCAUCCUUAGCAUACACCCAGCAUGUAAUCUUUUAGUUUUUUUUUUUUUGGUACCAGGGAUCAAACUUGGGUCCUUGCGCUUGCAAGGCAGGCGACGGAACCACUGAGCUAAAUCCCUGGCCCCCAUCUUUUAGUUUUUAAUCACUAAAAUAUAAGCACAACCAUCUUUUGAAAUUCAACGUUCUACUCAGAACAUCCUAUAGAUAAGUAAGAUUGGGUAAAGAAGAUAAACAACAGAAAGGAAGGAAGAGAGAGGGUAUAGUUUUCCUGGAGAACACAAUCUUCUAGGAGACAGACGAGUAAAGAGAAACAACAUCAUCCCAGGCUCCCAAAGGAGGAAGACUAACAUCUGAGAGAGCAGAGGUGUGAAGGCUUCCUGCCGAAGUGGUGGGAUGGGGCUUGUGAGCAUCUCCCCUGAAACUUUUUCUUUUCUUCUGUGGUACUGGGGAUAGAACCCUGGGAUUUCUCACCAAGCAAUAUACCCAGCCUUUUUUAUUUUUUAUUUUGAGACAGGGUCUCACUAAUAUACUGAGUUGCCCUGGCUGGGCUUGAAGUUUCCAUCCUCCUGCCUCAGCCUUUCACAAUGAGUGAGACUUUUAGAGGUAGGGUGAGGGUAGAAAAGGAAGCAGGCAUGGCGUUAGAUGGUCAAAGGGCAUGACAUGCUAAGGGAAAGGCACAAACAAAGCAGAUAUGUGCGUGUGGUAGGGAGAGGGGAAGGGGAAUGAAUCUGAGGACGCAGCCAGUGGCUACUUCGGGAUGGUUCUUGCCAAGGGGGAAGUCUUUCUUCUAAAGGAAGUGACCCAAUGAGAUGCUCAGGCUGUUUACUGAAGGUGAAUAUGAAAGCUCAAUACUCCUUUCUUCCUCCAAACCUCAGUAGCUUGGAGAACAUUUGCCCAGUGAUACCAGGAUAGGAGUUAAAAUUGUAGGAGGACCAGUAAUUUAAAGGAGUCACCAAGUCUGAGGGUGGAGAACCAGGGAGAAUAGUGAAGAAACCAAGACUUGUGACAUGGAGCUGAGCCAGAUGGCCUGACAGAGUGGCGCCUGGGUUACUGGAUCCUGAGCCCAGGGGCCCAUGACUUGAUUGGGAAUGGAAUGGAAGGGUGGGACUGUGUAUUUUUUGAAAGAGCUAACACUCAGCUUUUCGUGUUGCUACAGGUGCUAAUGCGAAGUGAGCUGGAGGCCCUGGACAUUCCUUCUGUUUAAAAAGAUUAAGGCUACAUAAGAUUAUUCUUUCCAUGAACCACUUGAUAAUAACAUUAAUGAACAUGAAACCAAAACUCCCUAACAAUUCCAUUAUCUCAACAAUUUCCAUUGUUUGAUGUACCUUUUCAAUUCUAGAUACUUACAGCUUUUCACUGUUUAGUCACAGCAUAAAUACCAUUUUAAAAGCUUAACAUCAUGUAUAUUUCCCAUGUGGCUUUACAGUUACCCUAUUUUUAAAAAAUAACUGCAUAAUACACAUUUAUCUUUUUCUUUUGAGGUAAAGUCAUCUUGCCCAGGCUGGCCUCAAAUUCCUGGGCUCAAGGGAUCCUUCUGCUUCAAGUAGCUGGGAUUAGAGGCAGUAAUCUUGUAUUACCAGCCAUAAUAUCUUGUAUUCUGUUUACUUAUCUAUGUGGUACUGGGGAUUGAAUCCAGGGCCUCACAGAUGCUAGGCAAGUGCUCCACCACUGAGAUACAUCCCCAGCCCAAUAUAAUGUAUUCUAAAUCACAAAACUACUCACAGUUGUUGAAUAUUUAGGCUGCUCUCAUUAGCUGUGUCUUUUAAGGAAACUGAUACACGCUGCUGGAAUGUUUAAUUGAACCCUCUGAGUUGAAAAGCAGACAUUUUUCUCCCCUUUCUCCCUGAGAUUUACGUGUGUUUACAGGCCAACAGGAAAAUGUUUUCAGUGUGCAGACUGUUGGGUCAGCAAGGAGGGAGCCUGGUCUGCAGGAUCAAGAAAGUUAACAGGGAGAGGCUAUGGAAGCCUGUAUGAAACAAUUGUAAUGGCUUCAGCUUCAGGGAUUCUUAAUUCUGCAUUCACGGAAGAGUAACGGAUCAUCUCCAUGGUCCUGGUACCAAAGGAUCUCCUGGCACUUGAGACCUUAGGGCUGAAACAAGAAAAAAAUCCCUUUGUAAACAAGGAUGAGUUAGUCACCUUGGUGUGGAGGAGAUGAAGAAACUGAAGGGAUGAAUCAUUUGUAUAAGCCAGCUCUGCGUCACCAAACAGCAAUUCAGAGAAAGCCUGCUCCAACACUACCAUGAAACCCUCAUGCUUUAUGUAGGAGUCCAAGUACAUAUUUAUCUCAGGUUGUUGCUCUGCUCACAGAAAAAACAUUCGUUCAUCUACUUAUUUACUCAGUAAAUAUGUAUGGGACACGGGCACUGUUCCAG